rnacentral:rRNA from 1 species
AUUGAACGCUGGCGGCAGGCCUAACACAUGCAAGUCGAAUGGUAACAGGAAACAGCUUGCUGUUUCGCUGACGAGUGGCGGACGGGUGAGUAAUGUCUGGGAAACUGCCUGAUGGAGGGGGAUAACUACUGGAAACGGUAGCUAAUACCGCAUAACGUCGCAAGCCCAAAGAGGGGGACCUUCGGGCCUCUUGCCAUCAGAUGUGCCCAGAUGGGAUUAGCUAGUAGGUGGGGUAACGGCUCACCUAGGCGACGAUCCCUAGCUGGUCUGAGAGGAUGACCAGCCACACUGGAACUGAGACACGGUCCAGACUCCUACGGGAGGCAGCAGUGGGGAAUAUUGCACAAUGGGCGGAAGCCUGAUGCAGCCAUGCCGCGUGUAUGAAGAAGGCCUUCGGGUUGUAAAGUACUUUCAGCGGGGAGGAAGGGAGUAAAGUUAAUACCUUGGCUCAUUGACGUUACCCGCAGAAGAAGCACCGGCUAACUACGUG